UAGGGAAUCUUCCACAAUGGACGCAAGUCUGAUGGAGCAACGCCGCGUGAGUGAAGAAGGCUUUCGGGUCGUAAAACUCUGUUAUUGAAGAAGAACGUGUGUGACAGUAACUGGUCAUGCAGUGACGGUAUUCAAUCAGAAAGUCACGGCUAACUACGUGCCAGCAGCCGCGGUAAUACGUAGGUGGCAAGCGUUGUCCGGAUUUAUUGGGCGUAAAGCGAGUGCAGGCGGUCUUUUAAGUCUGAUGUGAAAGCCUUCGGCUUAACCGAAGAAGGGCAUCGGAAACUGGGAGACUUGAGUGCAGAAGAGGAGAGUGGAACUCCAUGUGUAGCGGUGAAAUGCGUAGAUAUAUGGAAGAACACCAGUGGCGAAGGCGGCUCUCUGGUCUGUAACUGACGCUGAGGCUCGAAAGCGUGGGUAGCAAACAGGAUUAGAUACCCUGGUAGUCCACGCCGUAACGAUGAAUACUAAGUGUUGGAGGGCUUUCCGCCCUUCAGUGCUGCAGCUAACGCAUUAAGUAUU
rnacentral:rRNA from 1 species